AGCGAACGCUGGCGGCGGGCCUAACACAUGCAAGUCGAGCGCCCAGCAAUGGGAGCGGCAGACGGGUGAGUAACGCGUGGGGAUCUGCCCAAUGGUACGGAAUAACCCAGGGAAACUUGGAUUAAUACCGUAUGUGCCCUUCGGGGGAAAGAUUUAUCGCCAUUGGAUGAACCCGCGUCGGAUUAGCUAGUUGGUGUGGUAAAGGCGCACCAAGGCGACGAUCCGUAGCUGGUCUGAGAGGAUGAUCAGCCACACUGGGACUGAGACACGGCCCAGACUCCUACGGGAGGCAGCAGUGGGGAAUAUUGGACAAUGGGCGCAAGCCUGAUCCAGCCAUGCCGCGUGUGUGAUGAAGGCCUUAGGGUUGUAAAGCUCUUUCGCCGACGAAGAUAAUGACGGUAGUCGGAGAAGAAGCCCCGGCUAACUUCGUGCCAGCAGCCGCCGUAAAAC
rnacentral:rRNA from 1 species